UGUCUAACUUGAAGUGUUGCACUACGC
rnacentral:sRNA from 1 species